rfam:Roseburia sp. 831b contig000002, whole genome shotgun sequence.
UAAGUAGGACAAAUGAUCGCGGCUGCAAUCUCAGAUUUUAUCUGAGCAUCUUUUGCCUGGCAAAGGGUGGUCGAAAGACAGCAGGUGAGGAAAGUCCGGGCUUCAUAGGGCAGGAUGCCGGAUAACGUCCGGUAGAGGCGACUCUAAGGAAAGUGCAACAGAAAUAUACCGCCGCAGAACGCAAGGUGGAUUCCACAUGCGCCUGUUGGUAAGGUUGGAAGGGCAGUGUAAGAGACUACCGCCUUCUUGGUAACAAGAAGGGCAUAUGUAAACCCCAUCCGAAGCAAGACCGAACAAAAGCGUUGACGUGGCCCGCCAGCUUUAGGUAGGUCGCUUGAAGUGCCUGGUAACAGUCACUCUAGAAAGAUGAUCAUUCGUUUGCAGAUUCUGCAGACCGACAUAACCCGGCUUAUCGUCCUGCUUAAUUU